rnacentral:rRNA from 1 species
UACGUAGGGGGCUAGCGUUGUCCGGAAUCAUUGGGCGUAAAGCGCGCGUAGGCGGCCCGGUAAGUCCGCUGUGAAAGUCAAAGGCUCAACCUUUGAAUGUCAGCGGAUACUGCCGGGCUAGAGUCCGGAAGAGGCGAGUGGAACUCCUGGUGUAGCGGUGGAAUGCGCAGAUAUCAGGAAGAACACCCGUGGCGAAGGCGGUUCUCUGGGACGGUACUGACGCUGAGACGCGAAAGCGUGGGGAGCGAACAGG